AUUGAACGCUGGCGGCAGGCCUAACACAUGCAAGUCGAACGAGUGGCGGACGGGUGAGUAAUGUCUGGGAAACUGCCUGAUGGAGGGUGAUAACUACUGGAAACGGUAGCUAAUACCGCCUACCAUCGGAUGUGCCCAGAUGGGAUUAGCUUGUUGGUGGGGUAACGGCUCACCAAGGCGACGAUCCCUAGCUGGUCUGAGAGGAUGACCAGCACCGUGGGAACUGAUCCACUGUCCAGACUCCUACUGGAGGCAGCAGUGGGGAAUAUGUGACAAUGGGCGAAAGCCUGAUGCAGCCAUGCCGCGUGUAUGAAGAAGGCCUUCGGGUUGUAAAGUACUUUCAGCGGGGAGGCGUUACCCGCAGAAGAAGCCCCGGCUAACUCCGUGCCAGCCGCCGCGGUAAUAC
rnacentral:rRNA from 1 species